CUACGGGUCGCUGCAGUGGGGAAUAUUGCACAAUGGGCGCAAGCCUGAUGCAGCCAUGCCGCGUGUAUGAAGAAGGCCUUCGGGUUGUAAAGUACUUUCAGCGGGGAGGAAGGGAGUAAAGUUAAUACCUUUGCUCAUUGUCGUUACCCGCAGAAGAAGCACCGGCUAACUCCGUGCCAGCAGCCGCGGUAAUACGGAGGGUGCAAGCGUUAAUCGGAAUUACUGGGCGUAAAGCGCACGCAGGCGGUUUGUUAAGUCAGUGGGAAAUCCCCGGGCUCAACCUGGGAACUGCAUCUGAUACUGGCAAGCUUGAGUCUCGUAGAGGGGGGUAGAAUUCCAGGUGUAGCGGUGAAAUGCGUAGAGAUCUGGAGGAAUACCGGUGGCGAAGGCGGCCCCCUGGACGAAGACUGACGCUCAGGUGCGAAAGCGUGGGGAGCAAACAGGAUUAGAUACCCCGGUAGUC
rnacentral:rRNA from 1 species